AGGACGAACGCUGGCGGCGUGCUUCAUACAUGCAAGUCGAACGAUAAGGUCUCUUCGGAGAUACAUAAGUGGCGGACGGGUGAGUAAAAUGUAGAGAAUCUGCCCUAGAGAUGGGGACAACAGUUGGAAACGACUGCUAAUACCCAAUAUGAGCGUAGUUGAAAUACUAUUCUUGAAAACUCCGGUGCUCUGGGAUGAGUCUGCAUCUGAUUAGCUAGUUGGAGGUGUAAUGGACCACCAAGGCGACAAUCAGUAGCUGGUUUGAGAGGAUGAUCAGCCACAAUGGGACUGAGACACGGCCCAUACUCCUACGGGAGGCAGCAGUAGGGAAUUUUGCGCAAUGGGGGAAACCCUGACGCCAGCAACGCCGCGUGAAUGAAGAAGCCCUUCGGGGUGUAAAGUUCUGUCAGUAGGGAAGAAUAAAUGACUGUACCUACAGAGGAAGCAUCGGCUAACUCCGUGCCAGCCGCGGC
rnacentral:rRNA from 1 species